CUGACUUCCAGAACGACGCUGUGGACCGUCGCGAGUUAAGACAAUGAAAGCACGCAAGCAAGCCUCAGUGACUGUGCCGGAAUUAGCAGUUACCUGACAAGGAAUACUGUCAGCAGCUUCAGAUCAUCCGCCUUGUGAAGAAGACUCCUGCUUCCCCUUCACCUCCACCGUGGUUGUAAAUUUCCUGAGGAUUCCCAAGCUAUGAGGAACUAUGAGUCAAUUAAACCUCUUACCUUUAUAAAUUACCCAGUCUCGGGUAGUAUCUUUAUAGCAGAGUGAGAAUGGACAAAUACAGUACCCCACUAUAUUACCUUCUGUUCUAUUUUCUGUAUCAAAUGUCUAGCCAUUCAUACUUGAAAUCUGGGAAUCACCCUGUAGAUGCCCUUCCUCUGGAGGAUAUUCUCUUUUCCUCACUGUUCCUCAUUUCAUUGGUCAGAAAAUAUUGCCACUAAUUGCUACUAUAUUUUCUCAAUUUCUGUUCAUGCUAUUCCUUCCUCUGCAUUUCAUUAUUGCCUACUCCUCCUUUUGCAUCUUCAUGUGGUUAUAUAUAUUAAAUUCAGUCUGACCUAUUUUGAUAUAAGUAAAUAAAAUCUUAAAAUGCUGUAAAUGACACUUUUAGUUCAUGGUACUUAAAAUUCCUUUAUUAUAUCAUGUUCAUUCAGGUUGUCUUGUCUUUACACAUACUGUUAUUUUUUCCCAGAAUAUUUCAAUUUCUGACAUAUCCUCUGAUCCUUGCUAGCAUCUAUCUUUGGGAAAUUUUACUUGUUCUACAAGACUCACAUAAGCAGCAUUUCCUGCAGAAAAAUCUUCCCAUAUGUCUACCAUUGGAUGUGACUAUAUCAUAGGUUCCUUUUUUAUUCACUUAACAACACAUAUCAUUACUUCAGUAAUAUGUUUACCAUAUUCUGAUCUAUUUAUUUAUUUUAGGUUAGUUUAUAAAAGCAGGCAUUGUGUAACAUGUUGGCGUCCUAAGUUAAAGCACUUGAAAAUAUGUUUAAUAAAUACAUGAAAGAAUGAAAUGCAAAAAAUAAAUAAAA
rnacentral:lncRNA from 1 species